UUUCUGCCAGUUAAAUCGACUGUGUUCUGUUCCCCAUGGGGGCCUGGUGUGCAACAGUGGCAGACAGCAGCCUUCUCGGUAGUGUAUGCCACCUGUUACCUGUACAGGUUGUCCUGAGGGAACUUGGAGACAGCC
ensembl:snoRNA SNORA70 Small nucleolar RNA SNORA70